rnacentral:rRNA from 1 species
AGAGAGAGACAUGCGCGCAUAUCAAUAAGCGGAGGAAAAGAAACUAACAAGGAUUCCCCUAGUAACGGCGAGUGAAGCGGGAAGAGCUCAAAUUUGAAAUCUUAAAGGGUUUCCCUUUACGAAUUGUAGUUUAAAGAAGUGUUUUCUGUUGAGGUUUUGGUAAAAGUUCUUUGGAAUAGGACAUCAUAGAGGGUGAGAAUCCCGUAUUUGACCUUUACUUUCAACUUUGUGAUACACUUUCAAAGAGUCGGAUUGUUUGGGAAUGCAGUCCAAAAUGGGUGGUAAAUUUCAUCUAAAGCUAAAUAUUGGCGAGAGACCGAUAGCGAACAAGUACCGUGAGGGAAAGAUGAAAAGAACUUUGAAAAGAGAGUUAAACAGUACGUGAAAUUGUCAAAAGGGAAGCGUUUGACACCAGUGUUGUUUUUCUGAAAAUCAAUUAAAGAACUGUUUAUGCUAAGCUGUUUAGACUUUAUCAGCUAUCUGUUUAGUUUUGAGCUUUUCUUUAAUGCACUUUUCAGUUAACAAGUCAACAUCAAUUUCUUUUGCUGUAAAAAAGCUUGAGGAAGGUGGCUUGAGAUUCGUCUUAAGUGUUUAUAGCCUCUUGCCUAUGCAGUCGGAGAGAUUGAGGUCUGCAGCGUAGAUCCUUCGGGGCUAAAUGCAUUUGUGCUAAGUUAUAGCAUUCUAUAGACAACUUGUUGACUAUGAUUUGUCUUGUAGCUUACUCGCUUAUGUUAUUUUACCUACGCUUAGGAUGUUGACGCAUGAGAUAUACGC